UACGUAGGGGGCAAGCGUUGUCCGGAAUUAUUGGGCGUAAAGAGCGCGUAGGCGGUCCAGUAAGUCGGUUGUGAAAGUCGGGGGCUCAACCCUCGGAUGCCGAUCGAUACUGCUGGGCUAGAGUCCGGAAGAGGCGAGUGGAAUUCCUGGUGUAGCGGUGAAAUGCGCAGAUAUCAGGAGGAAUACCGAUGGCGAAGGCAGGUCUCUGGGCUAUAACUGACGCUCAUGCACGAAAGCGUGGGGAGCAAACAGG
rnacentral:rRNA from 1 species